GCAGCAGAGAGAGAGAGAGUGUGUGUGUGAUGGAUGCUCUGAGAUUUCAUUCCUUCUUCCUCCUUCGAACCUUCGCAGUUUUUCCUUCUGUUUUCAUCGUUGUUGUCGCUAGCGUGAGUAACCACCCUUGCUUCAAUCGUCCGAAGUUGACAAGUCCUUAAGUUUGUCUGUUGCUGCUGCGCGUCUGCAAGAUCUCUUCGUUCUUCCCGUUUCCAGCUCAUAUCUACUGUGAUUUGUUGAGCCGCUACUCUUCUAUUACCGUUGUUGGAGGCUUGGUUGAUCAGAAAUUUUAGUUUUGCUCCCCCAUUCGUCCGUGCGUUACUGUAGAUGUUGCUGUAAGUGUCUGGAAAUCUUUAUCUUCCUCUGCUGGUGCGUGUAGGAAUUUUCAGGAUAUUUGGAGGAGGAGAAAUUUGAUCAACAGUGAGAGGUGAAUUUUAAUUCUGGGAAUUUUAGAUUUGUUAACUGACGCCGAUUCCACCAUUGACUCUGAAGGGCAAACUAGCUACAGUGGGUGGAAAUUUUUGAUUGGUACUGUUACUUUUAAUGUAAAUAUAUAAUUUGUAUGUCUUUUUGAUUUUUUUUUAAAAAAGAGUAGAUGCUCCACAUAGAUUGUUGUUAGGAUUUUAUUUUGAUUUAUAUAGUGUUGCUGGCUGGAAGGAGCUAAGCUCCUGAUUGAUGCUGUUUUCUGAAAAAAAAAAAAAUUUUGUUAUAGAACUUUUGGGAGAUCGUAUUUCCAGGGAAGGUUCUGUCGAAAUUUCAAAAAAAAAUGUUGAAGUCUUAUUAUGACAAUUAAUAGUAGCAUUAGAAUUUUUAUACAAUCUGGUUAUUUUUAAAAUGAAAGAAAUUUUUAUUUUAAGGCUUACGGGAAUGCAUGAUAUAGUUCGCACCCGUGCCAGUCACUCUUUAUUUUCAGGGUGUGACAUUAUCCAUCGCCUAUUGCCCAUUCUUCAUGAAGGGUCUACAUAUCACAUCCAAUACUUUGAAGUCAAAUGGGCUAGAAAUCCUGUAUCCACUAAGUACUUCGUUAUUAUACAACUUGAUACAUAUUUUAGUAAGUCACCAAUCAUGGUCCCCUCGCCUACUAUAAAGUUGAUUCCCCUCCCAUUUUUAAUAGAUCCUCGUAGGUCUGAAAAAUAACUUUUCAGUAAGUAAAACUUUUUUCAUUGUUAUUGUAAACAUCAUUAUUCAUUCUAAAGUUAUGUCUUUCAAAUGUUAUCUAUUUAACCAUAUGCUCAUUAGUUUUUCUUAUUAUUUUCAAAUGUUGCUGAAUUGAUUACUUGUGUUGGUCCCCUCAUCAAGGAAGAAGAUAAUGGCUUUGUGCAUUGGAAAUUCUCCUUCAUAUUAAAGGACACAUGGUUUGCUUUGUUCAACUUCAUCUUCCUAUAACUAAAUAACUUUACUUUGUCACCAUUUUAUUGUGAUUUUAUUCUUAUAGGUGAAUAAUUUCCAAUCAAUAUCUUAUUUACACUGGUAAUCAUCUAAAUUGUUUACUUGAGGAUGGUCUGGCUUAGGGUGUAUAUAAUGAUUAUCUUCUAGAGAUUGAGAAAAAAGAUUCAGUUGCUAUAUUUGAAUUUGCUAAGUUGGUGGGGAAGAAUGGUCAGUCACAAUUUUUCUUAUGAUUCUUUUCCAUUCCAUUAUUUUAAUUAUGGUUUUAUAGUAAGAUUUAUCAUUUCAUUCACUCUAAAUGCAGAUGACAAGGUGAUAAUGAACCAUUAUAAUGCUAUCAGGGUGAAGUACAACCAUGAUCAUAAAUUUGUCUAGUUCUUCAAAGAUUGUUUAAAAAGGCAAACGUCUUUGAUUGACCUAGAUCACCCUUCUUCAUCAAGAAUUAAAAGUUAGGAUAUUUUCAUCAGUACCCAAUCGUCUCAUGUAGAAGGCUUCUUUUGUUUUUCAUCCUCUAUGUUUCACUUUGCUAAAUCUGUAAUCUUGCUUCUAAAGUUGACAGUUAUAAUUUAAGCUCUGUUUUCUUUUGGUUGGGCUAUGCAUGAUCAUGUUGGCCCCACAUUAAGUUUUUAUCUAUCAUGCUCAAUACAUUCU